UGGAGGCAGCAGUAGGGAAUAUUGCAAAAUGGGCGCAAGCCCGACGCAGCAACGCCGCGUGCGCGAUGAAGGCCUUCGGGUCGUAAAGCGCUUUUCGGAGGGAUGAGGAAGGACAGUACCUUCGGAAGAAGUCUCGGCUAACUACGUGCCAGCAGCCGCGGUAAAACGUAGGAGGCAAGCGUUAUCCGGAUUUACUGGGCGUAAAGCGCGUGCAGGCGGCACGGCAAGUUGGAUGUGAAAGCUCCCGGCUCAACUGGGAGAGGUCGUUCAAGACUGCCGAGCUAGAGGAUGGUAGAGGGAGGUGGAAUUCCGGGUGUAGUGGUGAAAUGCGUAGAUAUCCGGAGGAACACCAGUGGCGAAAGCGGCCUUCUGGACCAAUCCUGACGCUCAGACGCGAAAGCUAGGGUAGCAAACGGGAUUAGAUACCCGGGUAGUCCU
rnacentral:rRNA from 1 species